CUUUUGGCCAGGUGCGGUGGCUCACGUCUAUAAUACCAGCACUUUGGAAGGAAGAGGCCGGCAGAUCGCUUGAGCUCAGGAGUUCAAGACCAGCCUGACCAACAUGGCGAAACCCCACCUCUACUAAAAAUACAAAAAUUAGCCAGGUGUGGUGGUGUGUGCCUAUAAUCCCAGCUACUCGGGAGGCUGAGGAAGGAGAAUCGCUUGAACCCAGGAGGCAGAGGUUGCAGUGAGCCGAGAUGGUGCCACUGCACUCCAGCUUGGGUGACAGAGCGAGACUCUGUCUCAAAAAAUAAAAAAUAAGCUAGUGGACUUUGAGCAAAGCAGACUGUUCGCCACAAUGUGGGUGGGCCUCACCUGAUCAGUUGAAGUACUGAAUAGAACAAACCUCGCUCUACCCUGAGCAAGAAGAAAUUCUGCCAGCAGACCACUUUUGGACUCAAACUGCAAAUCCUGAAUCUCCAGCUUGCCAGCCUACUCCACCUGAUUUAGCAGAUUUUGGACCCACCAAGCCUCCAUAAUUCUACAGAAGACAAGGCACAGACACAGAGGAGAAGCCGUAUGAAGAUGAAGGAAAUGACUGGAGUUAUGAGCCAAGGAACGCCUGGAACCACCAGAAAUUGGAAGAGGGAAGAAAAAAAUCUCCCCUAGAGAAUCUUGUUCAGAGGGAGCGUAGCCCUGCCAUCACCUUGAUUCCAGACUCUUGUCGUACAGAACUGUUAGAGAAUAAAUUUCUGUUGUUUUAAACCACCAAAUUUGUGGGAAUUUUUACAGGAGCCCCAAAAAACUAAUACAUGUACCUCUCUGCAUAGUUGGUAGAUCAAGCCAACAAAAAGUAAUAAAAACAUACAAAAGAUUUCAAGAGCAUAGUCAAGCAGUUUUUAUCUAAUGAGCAUAUAAGCAAUCCUGCACUCAAUUAUUUGUUAAAAUAUCCCUUAUUUUUCAUUGCACAUGAAUCAUCUAUAUAAAUUUGAGUCAUAUUGUAACAAAAUAAUUUGUCAAUAUUGUAGAGCUGCAAUCAUUUUUAUCCUCUAAAAGAGCAGGUGCAUUGCCCAAGUAUGAGGAAAAUUGGCUUAGAACUUUCUGACCUUUUAGUAUCCUAGAGACAGCUUGUCUUUUUUUCUGCUUAGGAGAGAAUAUAGUUCACUAAUUAGCCACAGAUAAACAACUACAACCAGGCUCUUAAUUUUAUCUAUUUUGGAUGACUCUUACAGGAAUUAAAAAUUUCAAGGACACACAGAUUCCAUUGCCAUUUCAAAGUAAGCAUUCAUGUUACAGUCAUUGUCAUCAUUACUGGCAGGAUAAUUACUCUUAAAGUAACAGUCCCCAGAAGCAAGAAGUUGCCCCCCCGCCCCCCCCGCACCGUGCCCCGCCCCGCCCCCGUGUUGCUCAUCAGCCCUGAGGCUUCAUAAGUAAAUACACACAAAGUUAACAUGCUUAAAUAAAUGUUGCAUGAAUCAGAUCGUGCAUUUUAUAUGCCUCUCACAAAAAAGAAGUAGGUUAACAAGUAUAACACAGUGAACAUCCAGGGAAAAUAAAAUAAAAUAAAAGUAAUUUUCAGAGAACAGCCCUACCUAUCCUUCUUAUAGUAUACCAACAAAAAACAACAAUCAAAAUACAGCAACAUGAUGGGAAGAUACUGACAAUAUAAGCUGCCUUUUCCUUUCUCCUUGAAUUGCAUCAUUCAUACCGUUACCUCCUCGGGGCAAGGACUAGGUUAUUAUUUUUUGGCACAACUCUAUUUAACCAUGCAAUGCGUGUGCACUUCCAGUUUGUAGAAAUAUUAGAUAAUUUUAUUAAAAGAAAAAAAUCUUCACACUUUUGCACCCUAUUGUGUCUCCUGGCCCCCAGCAAGGAAAGAAAUCUUUAGAACUGAAUCCAGUUUGGAAGAAGGGAUGUUUGCCUAGUGAAGCAUAAAGUAUGUCCUAGGAUAUCUGGGAGAAAGGUCACUGUACCAGGGCUUCCAUUUCAUCAACUAUACACUGUCACGGCAUUUCCUGGAGGGAUUAUGUAAUGUAUUUGGACAAAGACCUCUCUGGUUGCCCACUCUUAGUGAAAAGUGAGCUUUGGAAAGAACAGUUAAGGCAUAAAAACACAAUUCCUUAGGGCAGCUUUGCAGACAGAGCCAAAAUGUCUCAUGACCCAUAAAAUACUUUAAGUUCUAACCAGCCCUACCACGGAGAGUGUCAGAAUCACAUCGAACAGCGUGAGCCACAUCUGCCAGCAGACGUCACAUGAUGGGUUCCAAAUUUCAGUUUAAUGCUCAUUCUUCCUCAUAUUGUGGUUUCUUUCUGGACUACAUUGAUUUCUUUUCAAUUGUGACCUAGGCAGUUUGCAUGGAUGCCUUACGUGGGUAAAAUGUUACCUUCUGAAAAGCCAUCGAGAAUAUUAGGUAACAUCAAAUUCCUUGUGCCAGAUUUUCAGAGGAAAAAAUAUAUGGUGUUCUAAUUGCCCUUUCUGGAAACAAUGAUUUAAAAUUUUCUUUUUCUUUCUGAAGGGGUCAUCCCAAGCUAUCUGAUGAUAAGCUGAUGUGUUAAUGCUAUUCCUUGAUUUGCAGGAACAAAGCAGUUAGAGCCAAAAAUCUUAAGUGAAUUACAGCAUGUAAAUGUCUCCUGAAUAAAGAGAAGCACAUUCCUUUUGGAAGUAGACAUCGUAAGCCAGGCGAUGUUAAUGAGUGAAGAGAAAUGCUUAGAGCUUGUGCUGGGAGAGACAAGUCCUGCAGUAAAAGGACUUAGGAGUUGCCCUGUCCCUCUGAUGUUCCCUGGAUCUGCAGCUGUAGAGCUUCUCCCUGGUUACUCCUGUAUCUGGAUCAUUACAACUUUCUUCUCCAGUAGAUUCUCCAUAUCACUGCCAAAGGCUGUCUUUUCCUCAUUGUUUUCAACUACCCACACAUUUCUGGGACUCUACAGCCAUUUUCCAUUGCCCUAGGCAGCAAGACUUAAGCUCUAAGAAAUUCAGCCCUGACAGUCUCCGAAGACUCUACAACCAAAAUACCCUAUGCUUCAAAGUCUCCCAAGGGCCCUCCUACAUGGUCUUUAUUCCUUUGUUUUCUCCCUUCCUUUAUUUUCUAACCCUACUUCCCCUCCCCCCAUAAGAAAACGGAGAAGAUACACAGUGCUCUACCAGUUAUGCUGAAGUCACACUGACCCCACGACACCAGCUCAUAGGCUCACCCAGCCCUCUCCAAGGUAAACAGUGCCUGAGCCCUUCCUGUCCUCUUUGGCAGCUUCAUCAGCCACCUGAGAGCUUUCGCUGCCCAGUGCCUGCUUCCUUGUUCUCUGUCAUACACCCAUCUCACCCCCAUCCCACUGUGUCUCCCUAGUCUUUGGCUUUUUAGUGGGUGUCAACCAGAGUGCCAGGUGGUAUACACAUUCAUCAGAUAAACAUGGUUUAUCUCCCGGGGUGACCAUUUUUCUCAAAUUGAAGAUGGGUGGAAUGAAGGGAAAGGAAUUAAGUAAUUUGUCUAAGUCAUCUGAAACAUAAUUUUUGUAUUAAAACAAACACGGAUGUGUUAUGGAGUAGAAUGCAAAAUCUACAUUACUUUUUAAAAUGAAAAUGAGACUUCAAAGAAGUUUAGCAUCUGUGGAGGGUGGCUUCUGGCAGCACCAGUAGGUCUCUCCACUUGUACAUUCUCACUUUCCUCGACCUGAGGGGCCAGCAGAGACACCGGAAAACACGUGCCAAAAUCCCAGGCUGUUCUUGACUUAUUAGUCAAUUUCUUCCUUCACCGAUUUGAGCACCUACUAUGUGCUGGGCCCUGUGAAUAUAAAUAUGAUUUAAACAAGCCCCUACCUUCAAGCAGCUCACAGUCUAGCAAGAUUAAUGCAAAUAACCAGCUCUAACAGAAUGUAAUCACUUUUACAAUAAAGGUAUGUGCAAAAUGUUAUGGUAUCAUAUAUAACAUAGCAAUUAACCAUUUCAGACAGAACAGAGGAAGAACUCAAAGUCUGGCAGUCUGGCUGCAUUCCUUAAAUCGUGUAUGUUUUUCUACCAUAUCUCCUACCAUCAACAAAGCCUGCCUCAGGUGUUACAUUUCUGUGUCUAAUUAAUUUACUUUGCAUAGUACCAAAUGCAUAUAGAACCCAUGCAUUAUUUUGACACUGGGAAAUGGUCAUGGUUAAACACAUUGUUGUGGUUUGAAUUGUAUUCCCCCCAAAAAGAUACGCUGAAGUCCUAACCCCCAGUACCUCAGAAUGUGGCCUUAUUGGAAAAUAGCAUCUUUAUGGAGGUGAUCAAGUUAAAAUGAGGCCAUCAGAGUGGCCCUAGCCAAUAUAACUGGUGUGCUUAUAAAAAAAGGAGAAUUUUGGACACAUACACACAGAAGGAAGACAACAGGAAGACACACAGGAAGAAGGUGGCCAUGUGACUGGAGCGAUGCGUCUGCAAGCCAAGGAACACCAAGGAUUGCCAGAAAACACCAGAAGCUGGAAGAGGCAAGGAAGAGUCCUCCGGUAGAGCAAUCAGAGAGGACAUGGCCUUGCCAACACCCUUGGUUUUGGACUUCCAGCCUCCAGAAUGGGGAGACAAUAAAUUUCUGCUGUUUUAAGCCACCCACGUUUUGAUACCUGUCAUGGAAGCCCUAAUAAACUAAUAUACAGAUGCAUGUCAUUUCAGUGUAAGUUUCUAAUCUUUUUUGGAAAAUUAAACCUCGCCUUUGUCAUUCUUGGCAAUAUUCUUUGCUUGAAGCUAAUCUCCAAGUCAUUUUCUCUACUGCAGUGGCUCUCAAUGUGUCAUCGCUGGGCCGGCAGCAUCAGCA
rnacentral:lncRNA from 1 species